GUCGCCUCCUAAAAGGUAACGGAGGCGCUCAAAGGUUCCCUCAGAAUGGUUGGAAAUCAUUCAUAGAGUGUAAAGGCAUAAGGGAGCUUGACUGCGAGACCUACAAGUCGAGCAGGGUCGAAAGACGGACUUAGUGAUCCGGUGGUUCCGCAUGGAAGGGCCAUCGCUCAACGGAUAAAAGCUACCCCGGGGAUAACAGGCUUAUCUCCCCCAAGAGUUCACAUCGACGGGGAGGUUUGGCACCUCGAUGUCGGCUCAUCGCAUCCUGGGGCUGUAGUCGGUCCCAAGGGUUGGGCUGUUCGCCCAUUAAAGCGGUACGCGAGCUGGGUUCAGAACGUCGUGAGACAGUUCGGUCCCUAUCCGUCGUGGGCGUAGGAAAUUUGAGAGGAGCUGUCCUUAGUACGAGAGGACCGGGAUGGACAUACCUCUGGUGUACCAGUUGUCGUGCCAACGGCAUAGCUGGGUAGCUAUG
rnacentral:rRNA from 1 species